rnacentral:rRNA from 1 species
AUUGAACGCUGGCGGCAGGCCUAACACAUGCAAGUCGAGCGGAUGAAGAGAGCUUGCUCUCUGAUUUAGCGGCGGACGGGUGAGUAAUGCCUAGGAAUCUGCCUGGUAGUGGGGGAUAACGUCCGGAAACGGGCGCUAAUACCGCAUACGUCCUACGGGAGAAAGCGGGGGACCUUCGGGCCUUGCGCUAUCAGAUGAGCCUAGGUCGGAUUAGCUAGUUGGUGAGGUAAUAGCUCACCAAGGCUACGAUCCGUAACUGGGCUGAGAGGAUGAGCAGUCACACUGGAACGGAGACACGGUCCAGACUCCUACGGGAGGCAGCAGUGGGGAAUAUUGGACAAUGGGCGAAAGCCUGAUCCAGCCAUGCCGCGUGUGUGAAGAAGGUCUUCGGAUUGUAAAGCACUUUAAGUUGGGAGGAAGGGUUGUAGAUUAAUACUCUGCAAUUUUGACAUUACCGACAGAAUAAGCACCGGCUAACUCUGUGCCAGCCGCCGCAGUAAUAC